GUUUUCUUGAGUGUGGAUGAAGUAGGCGGAAUUUGUGGUGUAGCGGUGAAAUGCAUAGAUAUCACGAGGAACACCGAUUGCGCAGGCAGCUUACUAAACCAUAACUGACGCUCAGGCACGAAGGCGUGGGGAUCAAACAGGAUUAGAUACCCUGGUAGUCCACGCAGUAAACGAUGAUUACUGGCUGUUUGCGAUAUACAGUAAGCGGCUGAGCGAAAGCGUUAAGUAAUCCACCUGGGGAGUACGUUCGCAAGAAUGAAACUCAAAGGAAUUGACGGGGGCCCGCACAAGCGGAGGAACAUGUGGUUUAAUUCGAUGAUACGCGAGGAACCUUACCCGGGCUUGAAAUGCAUCUGACAGGGGCAGAGACGUCCUUUCCCUUCGGGGCAGAUGUGUAGGUGCUGCAUGGUUGUCGUCAGCUCGUGCCGUGAGGUGUCGGCUUAAGUGCCAUAACGAGCGCAACCCUCAUCAUUAGUUACCAUCAGGUUAAGCUGGGGUACUCUAAUGAGACUGCCAUCGUAAGAUGCGAGGAAGGUGGGGAUGACGUCAAAUCAGCACGGCCCUUACGGUCCGGGGCGACACACGUGUUACAAUGGGUGGUACAAGGGCAGCUACAUGGCGACAUGAUGCUAAUCUCCAAAACCACUCUCAGUUCGGAUCGGAGUCUGCAACUCGACUCCGUGAAGCUGG
rnacentral:rRNA from 1 species